GUGCCGGCCCCCGCGGUAAUACCGAAGGUGCAAGCGUUUAUCGGAAUUACCGGGCGUAAAGGGGAUUCUCGCGGUUUUUUAAGUCGGAUGUGAAAGCCCCGGGCUCAACCUGGGAAUUGCAUCUGAUACUGGAAAGCUAGAGUAUGUGAGAGGGGGGUAGAAUUCCAAGUGUAGCGGUGAAAUGCGUAGAGAUUUGGAGGAAUACCAGUGGCGAAGGCGGCCCCCUGGCACACUACUGACGCUCAGGUGCGAAAGCGUGGGGAGCAAACAGGAUUAGAUACCCUGGUAGUCC
rnacentral:rRNA from 1 species